ACAGGUACAGAUAUUGUCUCACUGGUACCAUACAGGACAGAUAAAUGCUAUUUCAGCUUUUGGGUCUGUGCUUAUUUGCUGCUUCUCUGUAAUGCUUUCCAGGGGAAUGUCAAUAAGGAUUGGUAAAUGUCAGCUGUGCUGAGCAAUGUAAUUACAUGCUUGCAUUGAGAAGCUAACGCCUUGCUGCAGAAUGCUAGCAGGAAUCUGUGAGGAGUCAGGUCCUGUAAACCAGCCAUCAUCAGCAACAUCACGUAAUGAAGUCCUAGAACUGCAGGCUUCUCUGCUUCAGUGCUCUUGGGAGAGGUGAAUGGAAAACACUUGAAAGAAACCUGCUGCAAGCAGUGAGGGAGUUUGUCAUAUAUGGAAUGAAAAGAUAAAAGAUAGAAAAUGGUUUCCUCAGCCUUGAGACUGAAAGAAGCACUAGCUUUUUAUCUGUUUUUAUCUUGCUCUUCAUCAUUUCCUUUUAGCUCCCCACUGAACCUUAAGUCCUGGUGUUUCUUUUCCAUUUCAUUGUAUCUGGAACAGUCCUGCAUAUGCUGGGAGUUGCUUGUCUGUCUGUCUGGUCUGAGAAUGAGGGAUGUUGUUUUAUAUGAGAAGAUCAGAGCACAGGGUCAGUCUCCUAGUCUGAUUUUCCUUCUACUAGGAGGGCCUCCUUUGCUGUCAGAGAAAUACAGGAGACUGUAACCAGGGAACAUUCAUCUCUCUCCUUUUUGAUACUAGAAUCAUAGAAUCCUUAAAGUUGGAAAGGGCCUUUAAAGGUCAUCUGGCCCCUGCAAUGAACAGGGACGUCACAGCUAGACUAGGUUGCCCAGGGCCUGAUCCAGCCUUGCUUUGUGAGUCUCCAGGGAUGGGGCAUCCACCACGUCUCUGGGCAACCUGUUCAUGUGCCCAACCACCCUCACUCUUUGAGCUUGAAACCAUUUCCCCUUGUUCUAUUACCACAGACUAUGCUAAAGAGUCUACCUCCUUCUUUCCCGUAGCUCCCCUUUAGAUACUGAAAGGCUGCUGUCAGGUCACCUCAGCGCCUUUUCUUCUUCAUGGAGAACAGUCCCAGCUCUUUUGGUCUGUCCUUGUAGAAGAGGUGUUCUAAACCUUGUACCAAUGGCCUUUG
ensembl:lncRNA